GACAGAGGAUGCGAACGUUGCUCGGAAUUACUGGGCGUAAAGCGCGCGCAGGCGGCUUUGUAAGUCUGAUGUGAAAGCCCGGGGCUCAACCCCGGAAGCGCACCGGAUACUGCGAAGCUGGGGUCUUGAAGAGGAGAGCGGAAUUCCCGGUGUAGAGGUGAAAUUCGUAGAUAUUCGGAAGAACACCAGUGGCGAAGGCGGCUCACUGGUCCGGUACUGACGCUGAGGUGCGAAAGCGUGGGGAGCAAACAGG
rnacentral:rRNA from 1 species